AACGCGAAGAACCUUACCUGGGUUUGACUAGCUAGGAUUACCUCCAUGAAAGUGGAGUAGGCCCUUCGGGGUACAACUAGUACAGGUGCUGCAUGGCUGUCGUCAGCUCGUGUCGUGAGAUGUCGGGUUAAGUCCCUUAACGAGCGAAACCUUUGCCCUUAGUUACCAGCGGGUUAUGCCGGGGACUCUAAGGGGACUGCCGGUGUCAAACCGGAGGAAGGUGGAGAUGACGUCAAGUCCUCAUGGCCUUUAUGCCCAGGGCCACACACGUGCUACAAUGGGGUGCACAAAGCGAACCGAGAGCGCAAGCUGGAGGAAAUCGCACAAAUCACCCCCCAGUUCAGAUUGGAGGCUGCAACUCGCCUCCAUGAAGUUGGAAUCGCUAGUAAUCGCGGAUCAGCUACGCCGCGGUGAAUGUGUUCCCGGGCCUUGUACACACCGCUGUA
rnacentral:rRNA from 1 species